rnacentral:tRNA from 1 species
GCGCCCGUGGCUCAAUUGGAUAGAGCAUCUGACUACGGAUCAGAAGGUUUGGGGUUCGAAUCCCUUCGGGCGUGCCA